UUUUCCAUUUAUUUGCUACUCUCAGCUCUCAAUGAUAUGAGAUAAAGUUAGUUUUACACAUGGGAUAAAACAAAACUGGAUCAUUGUAAAUUGAGACAAAAUAUUUUGAUCUUCAUGGUCUAAACAUCC